rnacentral:misc_RNA from 1 species
GAUGAAGAACGUAGCGAAAUGCGAUAAGUAAUGUGAAUUGCAGAAUUCAGUGAAUCAUCGAAUCUUUGAACGCACCUUGCACUCCUUGGUAUUCCGAGGAGUACGCCUGUUCGAGUGUUAUGAAGCUCUCAAAACGCAAUUGGCUUAAAACCUGAUUGUUGUUUUGGAUUUGAACUUUGCCGUGUUAUACGGCUGGUUUUAAAAGUAUUAGCUGGUACUAGAACGAAUUGGUUCUACUCAACGUGAUAAUUAUCUGAUCGUUGAGGACAUUCCUUUCACGAGGAAUGGCCAUAGUAAAUUCAAUGGACUGCUUCUAAUCUGGCUUUAAUUCUUUAUUGGAUUAACCACUUUUCAAAUCUGACCUCGAAUCAGGUGGGACUACCCGCUGAACUUAAGCAUAUCAAUAAGCGGAGGA